rnacentral:snRNA from 1 species
GGUGCCCAACUGCGCGCUAA